rnacentral:rRNA from 1 species
AAUGGGGGAAACCCUGAUGCAGCGACGCCGCGUGAGCGAAGAAGGCUUUCGGGUCGUAAAGCUCUGUCCUAAGGGAAGAUAGUGACGGUACCUUAGGAGGAAGCCCCGGCUAACUACGUGCCAGCAGCCGCGGUAAUACGUAGGGGGCGAGCGUUAUCCGGAAUUAUUGGGCGUAAAGGGUUCGCAGGUGGCCUGAUAAGUCAGAUGUGAAAGGCAGUGGCUCAACCAUUGCAAGCAUUUGAAACUGUCAGGCUUGAGUACAGGAGAGGAAAGCGGAAUUCCUAGUGUAGCGGUGAAAUGCGUAGAUAUUAGGAGGAACACCAGUGGCGAAGGCGGCUUUCUGGACUGAAACUGACACUGAGGAACGAAAGCGUGGGGAGCAAA